GCGCAGCAGUUGCGAAAACUUGUCAAUGCACGAAAGUGUGAACGGGCUACCCCGAGUGCCGUCCGCUGAGGAUGGCUUUUCUCUGCUGUAAGAAGGCAGAGGAAUAAGGAGAGGGCAAGUCUGGUGUCAGCCGCCGCGGUAAUACCAGCUCUCCGAGUGGUAGGGACGAUUAUUGGGCUUAAAGCGUCCGUAGCUGGCCUUUCAAGUCUCUUGUUAAAUCCAGCGAUUCAAUCGUUGGACUGCGGGAGAUACUGUUAGGCUAGGGGACGGGAGAAGCCGACGGUAUUUCCGGUGUAGGGGUAAAAUCCUAUAAUCCCGGGAAGACCACCAGUGGCGUAGGCGGUCGGCUAGCACGCGCUCGACAGUGAGGGACGAAAGCUGGGGUAGCGAACCGGAUUAGAUUUGGAAAGGAGAAAUAUCCUUCCACUGAAGACCCGGGUAGUCC
rnacentral:rRNA from 1 species